rnacentral:rRNA from 1 species
UCCUACGGGGCGCAGCAGUGAGGAAUAUUGGUCAAUGGGCGGGAGCCUGAACCAGCCAAGCCGCGUGAGGGAAGAAGGUACAGCGUAUCGUAAACCUCUUUUGUCAGGGAACGAAGGCGGGGACUAGUCCCCGGAUGAGGGUACCUGAAGAAAAAGCAUCGGCUAACUCCGUGCCAGCAGCCGCGGUAAUACGGAGGAUGCGAGCGUUAUCCGGAUUUAUUGGGUUUAAAGGGUGCGUAGGCGGUCCGUUAAGUCAGCGGUAAAAUUGCGGGGCUCAACCCUGUCGAGCCGUUGAAACUGGCAGA